UACGGAGGAUCCAAGCGUUAUUCGGAAUUACUGGGCGUAAAGAGUUGCGUAGGUGGCAUCGAAAGUCGGUAGUGAAAGCGUGGGGCUCAACCCCAUACACAUUAUCGAAACUUCGAAGCUUGAGGACGAGAGAGGCAUCUGGAAUUCCUAGUGUAGGAGUGAAAUCCGUAGAUAUUAGGAGGAACACCGAUGGCGUAGGCAGGGUGCUGGCUCGUUCCUGACACUAAGGCACGAAAGCGUGGGGAGCAAACGGG
rnacentral:rRNA from 1 species